GAGUAAUGUCUGGGAAACUGCCUGAUGGAGGGGGAUAACUACUGGAAACGGUGGCUAAUACCGCAUAACGUCGCAAGACCAAAGAGGGGGACCUUCGGGCCUCUUGCCAUCAGAUGUGCCCAGAUGGGAUUAGCUUGUUGGUGAGGUAACGGCUCACCAAGGCGACGAUCCCUAGCUGGUCUGAGAGGAUGACCAGCCACACUGGAACUGAGACACGGUCCAGACUCCUACGGGAGGCAGCAGUGGGGAAUAUUGCACAAUGGGCGCAAGCCUGAUGCAGCCAUGCCGCGUGUAUGAAGAAGGCCUUCGGGUUGUAAAGUACUUUCAGCGGGGAGGAAGGUGUUGUGGUUAAUAACCGCAGCAAUUGACGUUACCCGCAGAAGAAGCACCGGCUAACUCCGUGCCAGCAGCCGCGGUAAUACGGAGGGUGCAAGCGUUAAUCGGAAUUACUGGGCGUAAAGCGCACGCAGGCGGUCUGUCAAGUCGGAUGUGAAAUCCCCGGGCUCAACCUGGGAACUGCAUUCGAAACUGGCAGGCUUGAGUCUUGUAGAGGGGGGUAGAAUUCCAGGUGUAGCGGUGAAAUGCGUAGAGAUCUGGAGGAAUACCGGUGGCGAAGGCGGCCCCCUGGACAAAGACUGACGCUCAGGUGCGAAAGCGUGGGGAGCAAACAGGAUUAGAUACCCUGGUAGUCCACGCCGUAAACGAUGUCUACUUGGAGGUUGUGCCCUUGAGGCGUGGCUUCCGGAGCUAACGCGUUAAGUAGACCGCCUGGGGAGUACGGCCGCAAGGUUAAAACUCAAAUGAAUUGACGGGGGCCCGCACAAGCGGUGGAGCAUGUGGUUUAAUUCGAUGCAACGCGAAGAACCUUACCUGGUCUUGACAUCCACAGAAGAAUCCAGAGAUGGAUUUGUGCCUUCGGGAACUGUGAGACAGGUGCUGCAUGGCUGUCGUCAGCUCGUGUUGUGAAAUGUUGGGUUAAGUCCCGCAACGAGCGCAACCCUUAUCCUUUGUUGCCAGCGGUCCGGCCGGGAACUCAAAGGAGACUGCCAGUGAUAAACUGGAGGAAGGUGGGGAUGACGUCAAGUCAUCAUGGCCCUUACGACCAGGGCUACACACGUGCUACAAUGGCGCAUACAAAGAGAAGCGACCUCGCGAGAGCAAGCGGACCUCAUAAAGUGCGUCGUAGUCCGGAUUGGAGUCUGCAACUCGACUCCAUGAAGUCGGAAUCGCUAGUAAUCGUGGAUCAGAAUGCCACGGUGAAUACGUUCCCGGGCCUUGUACACACCGCCCGUCACACCAUGGGAGUGGGUUGCAAAAGAAGUAGGUAGCUUAACCUUCGGGAGGGCGCUUACCACUUUGUGAUUCAUGACUGGGGUGAAGUCGUAACAAGGUAACCGUAGGGGAACCUGCGGUUGGAUCACCUCCUUACCUUAAAGAAGC
rnacentral:rRNA from 1 species